rnacentral:rRNA from 1 species
UACAGAGGUGGCAAGCGUUGUUCGGAAUUACUGGGCGUAAAAGGGCGCGUAGGCGGCCAUCUAAGUCAGACGUGAAAUCCCCCGGCUUAACCUGGGAACUGCGUCUGAUACUGGACGGCUUGAGUAUGGGAGAGGGAUGUAGAAUUCCAGGUGUAGCGGUGAAAUGCGUAGAUAUCUGGAGGAAUACCGGUGGCGAAGGCGGCAUCUGGACCAUUACUGACGCUGACUGCGCGAAAGCUA